CCUGGGGCUGAGAAGCUGCAGCUGGUCCAGAUCAAGUCUGUUGGGGACCUGAGUGCCCAGGUGUUGACAGUGGCCAAGGAGCAUUAUGAGACCUGGAGGUGAAUCUUUUCUCUGUGUUGGUGUUAACAGCAAAGCUAGUACCAUACCCUGGAUUGUGAUUACACACUGUGUAUACAAUAAUUGUGUAACCAUCCAGGCACUCAGUUAAGAAUAACAGCUUUAGGAUCAGUGCGGAAUGUGGAUAGAGAAAUUUCAGAAUAAACUCGGGAGAUCUGUGAGGAGGCUGCUGGGUAUUGCAGCAGAGCGAGUUGGAGCCCUUGGUCUUCAGAACAUCCACAGACCUGUGACGUCCUCUAAUCCAGCUUGUGAGGAACAGAAGAACACCUGUCAUUCCAGAGUCAGAGAGACACUCUAGGCUUCAAGUGAAGCGAGGAAAAGGAGGCGACAUAAAAGGAUUUUGAACGACAGAGACAAGACAAGACACUGGCCAAAAAGAUCUUUAUCAUCAGCUACUAAUGGACUACAGUUGGAAGUGUUAUGCCAAUCCAUGUGGAGACUGGCUCUUUUUUUGUCAUCGCAUAAUUUUCACUCUUGUUACAGUAGCUUAUUUAUUAUAUGUUUACCUUGAUCCACUUUCUUCCUACUGCUGGAUGCUAGAAUGAUCAUGUCCCCUCCCUUUUCCUUAACUUCCUUCCCUCUUUUCCUUCGUUUUACAAAAAUAAUCUCUGCUACGUACACUAUGCUAACAUUUAUUAUAGUAAUAACUAAGAUGUGUUCCCUGCCUCGACAGAGUUCUCAGACUGUGUGUUGAGAUCAUAGGUUAACAUCUGUCUUCACCUAAUAGAUCCUGAGUACUCAUCAUUUGCUGUGUUUCAGCUGUUCACCAUCUAAAAUAUGAAUCUAAUGCUGAACACGUGGCUCAUGCUGCAGAGAGUUAUGUGCUUAUGGGCAGAAACUUCACCCCUGACCUUCAGACGAAAAUGACUGUUCCAAUCGAUGUAGUGUGUAUAGCUCAUGAUGUUUUACAGUAGAAUUCACUUGGAACAGAGGUACUGAGAGAUUUGGAUAAUGGCCGCAUGUCAAUUUAGUGAUAAAACCAGAGAAAUUCAUGAUGAACCUUUAAGUGAGAGGACAUGAUUUUUCUUGCAGCACAGCUGAAUCCUUGCUAUUAUAAGAAACUUUAGGGUGAAAUUUUCUAGAAUUACGCAAAACAUAUUGAACUACUAUUGCAAUAGUAUGAAGUAUGAUGUCAAACCCAUACUGGGAUAGGAUACACGCUCAGGCAUAAAAUAUAUUGUAUUUCAAGUUGAACUUCGUGACAGCUGAAUAAGAGGUAUGGUAUUGCCUUUUAAUGAGCUA
rnacentral:lncRNA from 1 species